rnacentral:rRNA from 1 species
AGUGAACGCUGGCGGUAGGCCUAACACAUGCAAGUCGAACGGCAGCACAGAGGAGCUUGCUCCUUGGGUGGCGAGUGGAGGACGGGUGAGGAAUACGUCGGAAUCUACUCUGUCGUGGGGGAUAACGUAGGGAAACUUACGCUAAUCCCGCAUACGAACUACGGGUGAAAGCAGGGGUUCUUCGGACCUUGCGCGAUUGAAUGAGCCGAUGUCGGAGUAGCUAGUUGGCGGGGUAAAGGCCCACCAAGGCGACGAUCCGUAGCUGGUCUGAGAGGAUGAUCAGCCACACUGGAACUGAGACACGGUCCAGACUCCUACGGGAGGCAGCAGUGGGGAAUAUUGGACAAUGGGCGCAAGCCUGAUCCAGCCAUACCGCGUGGGUGAAGAAGGCCUUCGGGUUGUAAAGCCCUUUUGUUGGGAAAGAAAUCCAUCUGGUUAAUACCCGGGUGGGAUGACGGUACCCAAAGAAUAAGCACCGGCUAACUUCGUGCCAGCCGCCGCCGUAA